rnacentral:misc_RNA from 1 species
AAGGUGAAUCAUCGAAUCUUUGAACGCAUAUUGCACUUUCUGGUAAUCCGGAGAGUAUGCCUAUUUGAGGGUCACUUAAAAAAAAAAUGGGUAUUCCAAAUUUUUAUGGUUACCUAAAAUACAAGGCAUGCUCAUUUUUUGAAUUGCAUUAUACUAGUUAUGUGUAAUUUCGAGAAAUAUCAGGCGUGUUGUAUUUUGCAAAAACGAAGGAAAUUUGUUUCUGCAAAAUAAAUAAAUUAAACCUUGACCUCAAAUUAGGUAGGAGUACCCGCUGAACUUAAGCAUAUCAAUAAGCGGAGG